rnacentral:rRNA from 1 species
CCAGCACGUUAUGGUGGGCACUCUAAGGAGACUGCCGGUGACAAACCGAGGAAGUGGGGAUGACGUCAAGUCCUCAUGGCCUUUAUGACCAGGGCUACACACGUACUACAAUGGCCGAUACAAAGGGCAGCGACACUGCGAGGUGAAGCCAAUCCCGUAAAAUCGGUCUCAGUCCGGAUUGGAGUCUGCAACUCGACUCCAUGAAGUUGGAAUCGCUAGUAAUCGUGGAUCAGCAUGCCACGGUGAAUACGUUCCCGGGCCUU